UACGAGGGAUGCAAGCGUUAUCCGGAAUUAUUGGGCGUAAAGCGUUUGUAGGCGGGCGAGUGUGUUUAAUGUUAAAUCUUAAAGCUCAACUUUGAAAUUGCGUUAAAAACUGCUUGUCUUGAGUAUGGUAGGGGUAAAGGGAAUUCCCAGUGUAGCGGUGAAAUGCGUAGAUAUUGGGAAGAACACUAAACAGCGAAGGCACUUUACUAGGCUAAUACUGACGCUGAGAAACGAAAGGUAAGGUAGCGAAACGGAUUAGAUACCCGUGUAGUCUUACCCGUAAACUAUGGACACUAAACGGUAAAUUUUUAAUUUACUGUUAAAGCUAACGCGUUAAGUGUCCCGCCUGGGGAGUAUGCUUGCAAAAGUGAAACUCAAAGGAAUUGACGGGGGCCCGCACAAGCGGUGGAGCAUGUGGUUUAAUUCGACGGUACACGAAGAACCUUACCAGGACUUGACAUGCUAGAUAGUUGCUUGAAAGAGUAACGUGCCGUAAGGAAUCUAGACACAGGUGGUGCAUGGCUGUCGUCAGUUCGUGUUGUGAAAUGUUGGGUUAAGUCCCGCAACGAACGCAACCCUUGUCUUUAGUUAUUUUCUAAAGAGACUGCCUGUAAUAAACAGGAGGAAGGUAAGGAUGAGGUCAAGUCAUCAUGCCCCUUAUGUCCUGGGCUACACACGUGCUACAAUGGGAAAGACAAUGAGCUGCAAAUCUGUAAAUUUAAGCAAAUCUCUUAAACUUUCUCGUAGUUCGGAUUGUGGGCUGCAACUCGCCCACAUGAAGUUGGAAUCGCUAGUAAUCGCCAGUCAGCUAUAUGGCGGUGAAUCCGUUCCCGGGCCU
rnacentral:rRNA from 1 species